rfam:Triticum aestivum genome assembly, contig: Triticum_aestivum_CS42_TGACv1_scaffold_405195_5BL
CAUUUACUCCCUCCGUCCCAAAAUUCUUGUUUUAGAUUUGUCCAAAUAUGGAUGUAUCUAGUUACGUUUUAGUGUUAGAUACAUUUGUAUCUUGACAAAUUUAAGACAAGAAUUUUGAGACGGAGGGAGUAUUUA